rnacentral:lncRNA from 1 species
GCCCUCAAGGAGCCCGAGCGUGACCGCAAGAAGACCAAGAACAUCAAGCACACCGGCAACAUCAGCCUCGAUGACGUCAUUGAGAUCGCGAAGAUCAUGAAGAACAGGUCCAUGGCCAAGGACCUGAGCGGCACCGUCAAGGAGAUUCUCGGCACUUGCGUCUCGGUGGGGUGCACGGUUGACGGCAAGGACCCUAAGGAUCUGCAACAGGAGAUUUCCGAUGGCGAUGUGGAAGUCCCCCUCGACUGAGCUCUGUGAUGUUCGUUUUUUCCUCUCCAAGUGUUUUCGUGUA